rnacentral:lncRNA from 1 species
GUGUGUCUCUCUACUGAAACUGCCCUAACCUUAAAGAAUAAUUUCAAGUGUACUGCAAGAAUUUUUUGAGUCUCAAUUUCUAGCACCCAAUGCUCAGAGCUCUAAGCUAUAGAUUCACUUCCUUUGGUUUAAGCAAUAUUUACUUAGUAAAGUUGAGUAAACUUAGUAAAUUAGUAAAGUUGAGACCUACACAAAAUUAUCUGAGAUUCUGGUGUUUUAUUAAUGUAGAACUAGAGGAAACAGGUGUGAACUGGGAGGAAUAUGGCUUUGAACCAAUGUUCAACAGACAUGAAAAUUCCAGGUACCUGUCUGGAAGAGAAGAAGAACUACGGUCCCCAAGAGCCUUUUCAAGUACUGUUAUCAUUCCUGCUCAAGGGAACAGAUAUAAGGGCGCAGGUCAUCUGACUCGGCCCUCUUCUCAUCUUGCUGUGUUCCCUGCCGGAUCGGCUCGCUACUGCUGCUCCUGACUGCAUGCAAGGCUUCAGUAUUAGCGUGAGGCCUUUGGCUCUCGGACAAUCUUUCUCUCAAUUAUUGUUGAUUUAUAUUGCAUUAUAGUGUGUUAUCUUACAUUCCG